CACAACAUAACUCUAUGACUCAAGCAUUUAUUAAAGACUCAUAAGAGUCAACAUAGUAUGAUAUUACAAACAGGGGUCUCGUGACCCGACACUCAAGUCAUACAAACAACAAGCGGAAGCAAAUCAUGUCUGGGUACGGACAUCUUCUAAAAGUGGCUGGAAGAGCCUGAAAGCUACUACGACCCUACAAAGGAGCCAGACCUCUGUCUGGGAUUCCCAAGCUAUUCCGAUCAACAUCGAACACAUCGCGUAGAACCUUUUAAUGAGUUUAAGUCUUCUCUGCAAAAACAUAAAUAAAGCAACCGUGAGUACAAAGGUAUUCAGCAAGUCUUACAUCAGAACUAUCUACAUAUGCAUCAUGUUUCAAUGAAUGGAUUAUGGGGUUCGAUUGCAGCAAGCCAUCUUUGACUCUUGGCUAACCUGUACUACGACUAGAAGUUCUUUCUUUGAGGUGGGAUAACGCACAUGAGUCCACAUAUUCACCAAUUCAAUACACCACCAUGGAUCCACUCUCGUCUCUCUACGAGAAGGCCUUCCAUAGAAUUCACACUUAUCUUGCAUGUUUUAGAGUAUCCAUUUAAAUUGUCUAUGUACCACGUAAUGUUUCCAAGUAGUCCAUAUCCGAGGACGCGGCUAUUCGAACAGAUUGAAUCAUCCUGCAGGGGUAUACUUCUUCACACAUGCUCUCACCACUUAGCACCAUAUGCACGUCAUGCAUCUCGGCAACCUUCAAGCGGAAGCACUGGCGUGGGUGUCGUCCACGACCAUUAACCACACAAGACUUGCUGAAGUUGAAGUUAGUUUGAAUUAGGAUCCAAAUAUCACUUCAAGCCGGGUAUCUUUCCAAGUACCCUUAUAAUUGAAUCGACCUGAUGCUCAUAACAAAUUGUUCGAACGUGCAUGGGGUUAGUAUUUUGAGGUACUGAUUUGCAUUGACCAAUGUUUGGUCAUAACAAUUGAAGUGGAAUUCAAAUAAGUAUCAAAUUCCAUCUCCAAACUAAUUAUGAAAUUUAUCCUAUUCACCAUUUUGCCUAUUUGGUGAUGUUAAAUUUUUCAAACAUGCAUGAAAAUGCCAUAAUCAGAUUCCUUGGAUUUUUCUGAUACUUUUUCAUAUAUAAAUUAUUUUCAUCCGAGUUAUAUUUUAGUUUCUAUGAUUUUUACAAGUUUUAGCAAUUUCCUGGAUUUAUUUUAUAAUAGGAAAUCAAAUACUGUGUCAGCACUGCAUCAGCAUUGCGUCAGCAGUCAACUACGCCUGGGCCAGGUCAAACCUGACCAGUGGGGUCCACUGGUCAGUGACCCAGGUGCUAAUCCCGCGCUGACCUGCACUAAGUGGGGUUUGACCCACGUGUGGGGCCCUGUGUCAGUNNNNNNNNNNNNNNNNNNNNNNNNNNNNNNNNNNNNNNNNNNNNNNNNNNNNNNNNNNNNNNNNNNNNNNNNNNNNNNNNNNNNNNNNNNNNNNNNNNNNNNNNNNNNNNNNNNNNNNNNNNNNNNNNNNNNNNNNNNNNNNNNNNNNNNNNNNNNNNNNNNNNNNNNNNNNNNNNNNNNNNNNNNNNNNNNNNNNNNNNNNNNNNNNNNNNNNNNNNNNNNNNNNNNNNNNNNNNNNNNNNNNNNNNNNNGUGGCUCUGGGGGGGGGGUUAGUGCUGGCUAAUGGCUGGCCACGUCAGGGCUACCGGAGCCUGGCCGGCGGUGACCAUGGGCGCGGCGGAGGCUCGCCGGAGAUGCUCUAAAACGGCCUAUGGGGCUCGGUUAGAUGCGUUGAAGGCACUGGGGUGAAGCCCAGGCUCGACCGCAUCGUGCAGGGGCCUCGAAGGGGGGGCUAGGUCGCCGGUGUAGCCCCGGCGACGAGCCGCGGCGGCUACCGAAGCUCGGCCAUGGCGAGGCUAGUGCUAGGAGGCACGGGUGGAACAGAUUGGGACGGCUACGGCUUCAGGAGAGCUCACUGAGCACGCCGGGGUGCUCGGCAGUGGCUCUCGGGGUUGCUAACCACGACGACACCAUGGCCAGCGGCAGGGGCUUCGGCUCCGGCAGCUAGCAUGGUGGGAGGAAGGGGAGAUCGACAAGGGGAGGGGGAAUGCGUCCGGCGGCUCACAGGGAUUCGAUUGGAGCAGACGGCGAGCUCGGGGACACUUUGGUUGGCGCGAAUCGACGAGGAAGGUCCGGCGGCCGGAGGUGAAGGGGACGACGGCGAUGGCGAUGCUCCGUGGCUCGGUUACUCGGGGAGGUUGACGGCGAGGAGCUUCUCGACGAGGCGGAGCUAAUGGGCCGGUCAGGAAGGUGAGGGGAAGCCUGAGGCUACGGCUGCGACUGACGGCGACAACGGCCUCGCUAGAAUCCAUGGGGGAGGGAGAAGCAGAGAGAUAGGGGAGAGAGUGGAGAGGGGGAUGAGCUCGGGGGUCUAGGUGGUGGCCGCAGACGGAUAUGGAUGCAUGGGUGGCCGCCAGCGCGAAGCAGGAGCUGGCUCGCCCAGCGCCGUGCCUCGUCUCGCCUCUGCCUUCUGGCAGAGGUAGAAGAUGACUGGCAGAGGCCAGUGGGCUGGGCCAUCUCCUUCCUGGGCCAGGUAACAGGUAAGGUUUUCUAUUCUCUUCUCUUUAUUCUUUUCUGUUUUCUGUUUGCUAACAUUUGUGUUGAAUUGAAAANNNNNNNNNNNNNNNNNNNNNNNNNNNNNNNNNNNNNNNNNNNNNNNNNNNNNNNNNNNNNNNNNNNNNNNNNNNNNNNNNNNNNNNNNNNNNNNNNNNNAUGUACCGGGACUGACGAAUGGGUUCCGGGAGUUCGCCGGGGGGGGGCAACCCACCCCGGGGAAGCCCAUAAGCCUUGAGGGUGGCACACCAGCCCUUAGUGGGCUGGUGGGACAGCCCAAAAGGCUCUAUGCGCCAAGGAGAAGAAAAUCAAGAGAGAAAGAAAAAAAAGGAGGAGGUGGGAAGGAUGGGGGACUCCCUCCCACCAAACCUAGUCCAACUGGUUUGGGGGGGGGAGAGUCCUCCCCCUUGGACUCGGCCGACCCCCUUGGGGCUCCUUGAGCCCCAAGGCAAGGUCCCCUCCCUCCCACCUAUAUAUACGGAGGUUUUAGGGCUGAUUUGAGACGACUUUUCCACGGCAGCCCGACCACAUACCUCCACAGUUUUUCCUCUAGAUCGCGUAUCUGCGGAGCUCGGGCGGAGCCCUGCUGAGACAAGGUCAUCACCAACCUCCGGAGCGCCAUCACGCUGCCGGAGAACUCUUCUACCUCUCCGUCUCUCUUGCUAGAUCAAGAAGGCCGAGAUCAUCGUCGAGCUGUACGUGUGCUGAACGCGGAGGUGCCGUCCGUUUGGUACUAGAUCGUGGGACUGAUCGCGGGAUUGUCCGCGGGGCGGAUCGAGGGACGUGAGGACGUUCCACUACAUCAACCGCGUUCUCUAACGCUUUUGUUGUACGGUCUACAAGGGUACGUAGAUUACUCAUCCCCUCUCGUAGAUGGACAUCACCAUGAUAGGUCUUCGUGCNNNNNNNNNNNNNNNNNNNNNNNNNNNNNNNNNNNNNNNNNNNNNNNNNNNNNNNNNNNNNNNNNNNNNNNNNNNNNNNNNNNNNNNNNNNNNNNNNNNNCCCUUUACCAUCUCCAGCCCCGCGCUCUGGAGCCGCUCCAGGGAACGCGCCAGCUCGUACAUGCGGGCCUUGGCACCAGUGGCUAUUUCCUCCACGGACCAGCCCGCGUUGGCGUCCACCUCUUCGCCAGCGGUGCGACACUCUUCACGGCUGGUCUCCACGGCCACUUCUACCGCCUCUCGUGUUCUGGGGAAGAGCCCUGGGGGAUGGGGGUGUGGUAUGGAGGAUAAGGAGGGGGAAAUGCCAGCAAGAAUGAAGACAAAAUCAAGACGAAAAAGACUCACUGUUGAAGUGGAUGUCGGUUUCCCGUGCUGAUGACCCACAAGUAUAGGGGGUCAAUCUUAGUCCUUUCAAUAAGUAAGAGUGUCGAACCCAACGAGAAGCAGAAGGAUCUGACAAGUGGUUUUCAGCAAGGUAAAAUCUGCAAGCACUGAAAUUAUCGGUAACAAGUGAUUUUGUGGUGAUAUGAUUCGUAGCAAGUAGCAAGUAACAAAAGUAGCAACGGUGCAGCAAAGUGGCCCAAUCCCUUUUGUAGAAAGGAAAAGCCUGGACAAAGUCUUAUAGGACGAAAAAAGCUCCUGAGGACACACGGGAAUUUCUUUCAUGCUAGUUUUCAUCAUGUUAAUAUGAUUCACGUUCGUUACUUUGAUAGUUUGAUAUGUGGGUGCACCGGCGCUUGGGUACUGCCCUUACUUGGACAAGCAUCCCACUUAUGAUUAACCCCUCUCGCAAGCAUCCGCAACUACGAAAUAAGAAUUAAGACAAAGUCUAACCAUAGCAUUAAACUAAUGGAUCCAAAUCAACCCCUUACGAAGCAACACAUAAACAAGGGUUUAAGCUUCUGUCACUCUAGCAACCCAUCAUCUACUUACUACUUCCCAAUGCCUUCCUCUAGGCCCAAAUAAUGGUGAAGUGUUAUGUAGUCGAUGUUCACAUAACACCACUAGAGGAAAAACAACAUACAACACAUCAAAAUAUCGAAUGAAUACCAAAUUCACAUGACUACUAUUAGCAUGACUUAUCCCGUGUUCGCAGGAACAAAAGUAACUACUCACAAAGCAUAAUCAUAUUCAGGACGAGAGAGGUAAUGAGUAGCAUCAAGGAUCUGAACAUAAACUCUUCCACCAAGUAAUCCAACUAGCAUCAACUACAAGGAGUAAUUAACACUACUAGCAACCUUACAAGUACCAAUCGGAGUCGCGAGACGGAGAUUGGUUACAAGUGAUGAACUAGGGUUUGGAGAUGAGAUGGUGCUGAUGAAGAUGUUGAUGGUGAUGAGUCCCCUCCGAUGAUAGGAGUGUUGGUGAUGACGAUGUCGAUGAUUUCCUCCUCCGAGAGGGAAGUUUCCCCGGUAGGAUCGUCCUGCCGGAGCUCUAGAUUGGUUCUGCUCAAGUUCCGCCUCGUGGCGGCGGCGAAUCCUUCGAAAAGCCUCCUCCUGAUUUUUUUGGAACGAAACCCUUCAUAUAGCAGAAGAGGGGGGCCAGUUGGUCAGCAGGGAGCCCACAAGCCCCCUAGGCGCUGCCGGGGGGGGGGGUGGCCGUGCCUACCAGGCUUGUGGCCCCUGGUUGCGCUCCUCUCGCACUUCUUCAACCUAGUAUUUUUUAUAUAUUCCCAAAAAAAUCCACGUUGAUUUUCACGGCUUUUGGAGUUGCACAUAAUAGGCAUCUCAAACUUGCUCCUUUUUCAGGCCAGAAUUCCAGCUGCCGGCAUUCUCCCUCUUCAUGUAAACCUUGCAAAAUAAGAGAUAAAAGGCAUAAGUAUUGUACCAUAAAGUGAAAUAACAUCCCAAGAAGCGAUACAUAUCAACAUAANNNNNNNNNNNNNNNNNNNNNNNNNNNNNNNNNNNNNNNNNNNNNNNNNNNNNNNNNNNNNNNNNNNNNNNNNNNNNNNNNNNNNNNNNNNNNNNNNNNNCUCUCAUGGCAAAACUGGGUUGAUGGUUUAUGGAUGCACAAGUAGUAUCUCUACUUGGUGCGGGAGUUUUGGAUAAUAUGAGGUGGAAGUAAUCGUCACAUGCUAAGGGAUCUCUAAUCAUAUAACAUUGUUCGGAACCAAGCAAACACAAUUCAUUAUGUUGUCUUCCUUGUCCAACAUCUACUUCUAGGCAUGUAAUAGUGUAGUGAGUGUUCACAAUCAUAGAUGGUGUCAAAGAUGAUGUAUUUAUAUGUGAACCUCUCCUUCUUUAUCACUUCCUAUUAAUUGCAACAAUGACUAUCGUCCACGUUUGUCUACCCUCAACAAGUUUCAAUCAUCAUUCCUUUUAUAUGUGAAGCCAUCACUUCCUAUAAUAUCAUUACAUGAUCUUUCAUGCUUUUGUUCUUUCUCAAUCUUUUGAUCAUGGCAUGAGGCAAAGCUCUUCAACUAAGAUACUCUUUAUUAUAUGACUCACGAGCUCGAAUACAUCGGGGGUGACAAAAAGAAAAACUCAAGGCUAAAACACUAAGACUUUUAAUCUACUAGAGAAAAAGAAAACUGAAAAGGAACAAACUAAAACAAAGGUAAAGGAAAAAGAUGUGAUGGUGAUACGAUACCGGGGCAACUCCCCCAAGCUUGGCAUAAGCCAAGGGGAUUGCCCAUACCCAUGCUCAUUUGUCUUCCUUCGGCGGUGAUGGUGGUGGAGUUGUUGCAACAUGGGUUUGAUCCUCCGUCUUCCAAGGCAUAGGUGCUCCAUCAUGGAAAGAUGAACGAGUCUUCAGAAUCCUCAAAUCUGCAGCCAACCGUAUUGAUUUAAAUCUAUACUCAUAGUCACAGUUUUGGUUCUGCAGGUCAUACAUCUGGGCCUGGAGGUGAUCAAUCCUGUCAUAGAGCCUGGAGAGGUGCUUCCAAAUGUCAUUGGCAUCGAUCCUGUGCUUGCUAGUGAACUCAGUGAUCAUCAUGUGGUUGGCAUUGAGUCCACGCUCCACCAUCCCUUGGCACUUGAAGACUUGUUGCUCCAUUGCUUCGAGCCUCGCCUCCACGCUUCUGGUCUUCUUAGGUCCCUCAACAUCACGGAUGUGCAACAUCCCCUCACGCAUCUCGAUAGAUUGAGGGUGUUGCAGCACUCCCGAGAGGUAGGAAUUGAUGACCUUCUCGAAGAUCUUGUCCUUCAGAGCUUUUGGGGACGUCAUAGCAAUCUAGAUCUGCAACAGAAACAGGCUCGAAACAAAAACAAAGGAAAUCUACGUGAUAGGAGGGUCAGACCUUACGGGAGAACAUAUACUGAUUUUUCCACACCAGAAGGAGUACUCCGCACGAAACAGAGUCCGGGAGGCACACGAGGUAGCCACAAGCCCCCCAGGCACGGCCCGGGGGGGGGGGGUGGGCCCGCGCCUGGCAGGCUUGUCGCCUCCUCGCGCGCUUUUCGGACUACUUCCAAUUUUUCUAUUUUUUCAAAUAUUCCAAAAUGGAGAAAAAUCCUACUGGAAAAGUUUUGGAGUCUGUUUUCUUACGAAUCACAUACCUCUUCGUUUUCGGAGUCUAAAACAGGCUGAUAAAUGUCCCUUAGGUAUUCUUCCGGAGUUAUGGUAUUGAUAAUAUUGCUUUCAACAUUUAUGGGAGUACCUGAGAUAUAAUGCUUGAUUCUGUGCCCAUUUACCAUUCUUGGACAAUUACCUUCCAUGUUAUUGAUCUUGAUAGCACCGGAACGAUAUACUUCCUCAACAAUAUAGGGACCUUCCCAUCUAGAGAGAAGCUUGCGUGCAAAAAAUCUUAAACGAGAAUUAUAUAGCAAGACAUAAUCACCUACAUUGAACUCACGCUUUUGUAUCCUCUUAUCAUGCCACCUCUUAACCUUUUCUUUGAACAACUUGGCAUUCUCAUAUGCCUGAGUUCUUCAUUCAUCAAACGAGCUAAUGUCAAAUAACCUCUUCUCACCAGCAAUUUUGAUGUCAAAGUUGAGCUCUUUGAUUGCUCGAUAAGCUUUAUGCUCUAGCUCAAGAGGUAAAUGACAUGCUUUACCGUACACCAUUUUGUAUGGAGACAUGCCCAUGGGAUUCUUAUAGGUAGUUCUAUAAGCCCACAAUGCAUCAUCGAGCUUCCUAGACCAAUUCUUUCUAGACCUGUUGACAGUCUUUUGCGGAAUCAGUUUAAUAUCUCUAUUGCUUAGCUCUACUUGACCACUCGACUGAGGGUGAUAGGGAGACGUAAUUCUAUGGUUGACAUCAUACUUAGCAAGCGUUUUAUGGAAAGCACCAUAAAUGAAAUGUGAACCACCGUCGGUCAUUAGAUAUCUAGGGACUCCAAAUCUAGGGAAAAUAACUUCUCUAAGCAUCUUUAUAGAAGUGUUGUGAUCAGGACUACUAGUGGGGAUAGCUUUUACCCACUUAGUGACGUAAUCAACAACAACUAGGAUAUGAGUAUACCCGUUGGAUUUUGGAAAAGGUCCCAUAUAAUCAAAGCCCCAAACAUCAAAUGGUUCAAUGACAAGUGAAUAGUUCAUAGGCAUUUCCUGACGUUUACCGAUAUUACCUAUUCUUUGAUAUUCGUCACAAGACAGGACAAACUUACGGGCAUCCUUGAAGAGAGUGGGCCAGUAGAAACCUGUUUGCAAUACCUUGUGUGCAGUUGUAUCUCCCGCAUGGUGUCCUCGUAGGCCUCGGAGUGACACUUCUGUAGGAUCUGUCCCUGUUCAUGUUCAGGUACACAACGUCUAAUAACACCAUCUACUCCUUCCUUAUAAAGAUGAGGAUCAUCCCAAAAGUAAUGUCUCAAGUCAAAGAAGAAUUUCUUCUUUUGCUGGUAUGUGAAACUAGGUGGUAUAUAUUUCGCAACAAUAUAGUUCGCAUAAUCAGCAUACCACGGUGCACUACGUGAAGUAUUGAUGACAUUCAGGUGCUCAUCAGGAAAGCUAUCAUCAAUAGGUUAUGGGUCAUCAAGAACGUUCGCCAACCUAGACAAGUUAUCUCCUACUAGGUUGUCAGCACCCUUUUUGUCAACAACGUGCAAAUCAAAUUCUUGUAGCAAGAGAACCCAUCUGAUAAGUCUAGGUUUAGCGUCUUUCUUCUCCAUGAGGUACUUAAUAGCAGCAUGAUCAGUGUGAAUAGUGACUUUGGAAUCAACUAUGUAAGACCUGAGCUUUUCACAUACAAACACGACUGCUAAAAAUUCCUUCUCCGUAGUAGCGUAGUUUCUUUGGGCACUGUCUAAAGUUUUACUAGCAUAGUGAAUAACAUUCAACUUCUUGUCAACUCUUUGCCCUAGGACAGCACCAACAGCAUAAUCACUAGCAUCACACAUGAUCUCAAAAGGUAGGUUCCAAUCAGGUGGUUGAACAAUAUGUGAAGUUAUCAAAGCCUUUUUAAGUAUUUUGAAGGCUUCCUCACAAUCGUCGUCAAAAACAAAAGGAAUAUCCUUUUGCAAGAGAUUGGUAAGAGGCCUAGAAAUCUUAGACAAGUCUUUAAUGAACCUUCUAUAGAAACCAGCAUGACCAAGGAAACUUCUUAUACCUUUGAUAUCUGUGGGGUAUGGCAUUUUCUCGAUUGCAUCAACCUUAGCCUUAUCGACUUCAAUACCUCUUUCGGAAAUUUUAUGUCCUAAGACGAUGCCUUCAUUAACCAUAAAGUGGCACUUCUCCCAAUUCAAGACAAGAUUGGUGUCUUUACAUCUCUGCAAGACCCGAUCAACGUUGCUGAGGCAGUCAUCAAAAGAAGACCCAUAAACGGAGAAGUCAUCCAUGAAAACCUCAACAAUCUUUUCACAAAAGUCAGAGAAUAUAGCCAUCAUACAUAUUUGAAAGGUGGCAGGUGCAUUACAUAAGCCAAAAGGCAUACGUCCAUAAGCAAAGGUACCGAAAGGGUAGGUGAAAGUGGUUUUCUCCUGAUCAGCUUGUGCAACUGGUAUCUGAGAGAAACCACAAUAGCCGUCAAGAAAGCAUAAGUGUGUGUGUUUAGACAGUCUUUCUAGCAUUUGGUCGAUAAAAGGUAAAGGGUAAUGAUCUUUCCUAGUUGCUUUAUUCAAUUUCCUAAAAUCGAUCACAAUCCUAUAGCCAGUAAUAAUCCUGUGUGCGAUCAAUUCAUCCUUAUCAUUAGGGACAACGGUAAUGCCUCCCUUCUUAGGGACGCAAUGCACCGGACUCACCCAAUCACUAUGAGCAACAUGAUAGAUAAUACCUGCUUCCAGGAGCUUUAGUAUUUAUUUUCUUACUACCUCUUUCAUCUUAGGAUUCAAUCUCCUUUGAUCAUCAGCAACUGGUUUGGAAUCAGGAUCAGUUUUGAUUUUGUGCUGGCAUAGAGUGGGACUAAUGCCCUUAAGAUCAUCAAGAGUAUAUCCAAUAGUAGCACGGUGCUACCUCAAAGUUUUUAGUAACUUCUUUUCUUCAUGCUCUGAGAGGCUAGCACAAAUAAUAACAGGAUAUAUCUCUUUUUCAUCACGAUAAGCAUACUUAAGAGUAUCACGCAACUGUUUAAGCUCGAACACAGGAUCACCCUUUGGUGGGGGUGGAUCCUGAUACGUCUCCAACGUAUCUAUAAUUUUUGAUGGUUCCAUGCUAUUGUCUUGUCAACUUUGGAUGUUUUAUAUGCAUGAAUAUGCUAUUUAUAUCUUUUUUGGGACUAACCUAUUAACUCAGUGCCAAGUGCCAGUUUUUGUUUUUUCCAUGUUUUUGGCCCAUUUUCAGACGGAGUCCAAAUGGAAUGAAACUUUACGAUGAUUUUUUGUGGACCAAAAGAGGCCCCCGAAGCUUUGGAAGAAGGCCAGAAGAGCCACGAGGGAGUCACAAGCCCUGACACCGCCACCACCCCCUAGGUAGCGUAGGGAAGGCUUGUGACCUCCUCGUGGGCCCAACCGACGUAAUUCCACCGCCAUAAAUUCCUAUAAAUUCAAAACCCCCCAAAAAGAAACCUAGAUUUGGAGUUCCGCCGCCGCAAGCCUCUGUAGCCACCAAAAACCAAUCUGGAGCCCGUUUUGGCACCCUGCCGGAGGGGGAAUCCACCUCCGGUGGCCACCUUCAUCAUCCCGACGAUCUCCAUGACGAGGAGGGAGUAGUUCUCCCUCAGGGCUGAGGGUAUGUACCAGUAGCUAUGUGUUUCAUCUCUCUCUCUCGUGUUCUUAAGAUGUCUUGAUCUCGAUGUACCAUGGGCUUUGCUACUAUAGUUGGAUCUUAUGAUGUUCUUCCCCCUCUACCUCUUGUAAUGAAUUGAGUUUCCCCUUUGGAGUUAUCUUAUUGGAUUGGGUCUUUGAGAAUACUUGAUGUAUGUCUUGCACGUGUCUAUCUGCUGUGAUCAACUUGCGGGUUUGUGACAAUUGGGAACCUAUGCAUAUGGGUUGGCACACGUGGAUUCAUGUGAGUACUUGAUGUAUGUUUUGGUCAUCAACUUGUGGGUUCGUGACAUUGGGAACCUAUGCACAGGGGUUGGCACACGUUUUGACUCUCUGGUAGCAACUUCGGGGCACUCUUUGAAGUUCUAUGUGUUGGUUGAAUAGAUGAUUCUGAGAUUAUGUGAUGCAUAUCGUAUAAUCAUGCCCACGGAUACUUGAGGUGACAAUGGAGUAUGUAGGUGACAUUAGGGUCUUGGUUGAUAUGUAUCUUAAGGUGUUAUUCUAGUAUGAACUCUGUGAUGGAUCGAUCAGAAAGAAUAACUUUGCUGUAGUUUCGUACCCGACAAUAAUCUCUUGGUUUGUUCUCCGCUAUUAGUGACUUUGGAGUGACUCUUUGUUGCAUGCUGAGGGCUAGUUAUAUGAUCCAAUUGUGUUAUCAUUGUUGAGAGAACUUCACUGGUGAAAGUAUGAACCCUAGGCCUUGUUUCCAUGCAUUGCAAUACCGUUCGUGCUCACUUUUGUUACUUGUUACCUUGCUGUUUUUGUAAUUUCAGAGUAUAAAAAUCUAUAUCUACCAUCCAUAUUGCACUUGUUUCACCAUCUCUUCGCCGAACUAGUGCACCCAUACAACUUACCAUUGUAUUAGGUGUGUUGGGGACACAAGAGACUCUUUGUUAUUUGGUUGCAGGGUUGCUUGAGAGAGACCUUCUUCAUCCUACGCAUCCCACAGAUUGAUAAACCUUAGGUCACUCACUUGAGGGAAAAUUGCUACUGUCUUACAAACCUCUCCACUUGGAGGCCCAACAACGUCUACAAGGAGAAGUUUGCGUAGUAGACAUCAAGUUCUUUUCUGGCGCCGUUGCCGGGGAGGUUAGCGUUUGAAGGUAUAUCUUUAGAUCUUGCAAUCGAAUCUUUUUGUUUCUUGUUCUCUUGCUAGAAAACUACAAAAAAAUGGAAUUGAGGAUGCCUCAUAUACUCCACCUUUUCAAUGUCUUUCGUGAGCAUGAUGGGAAGGAAAAUUGUGCUCAAGUGCUGAAAGAAGAAUUACAUAGAAUGCUUGGCAUAGAAUAUGUGAAUGAUGAGCAUGAUUGCAAUGUUGUUAGCAUGAAAUCUAUGAAUACCCAUGAUGCUAAUGAUAUGCAAAGCCACAAGCUUGGGGAUGCUAUAUUUCAUGAAGAUGAUCUUUUUAGUUCUUCUACUUUGAAUGAUCAAAAUCAUUUUGAUGAAAGCAUGCCCCCUAUCUAUGAUGAUUAUUGUGAGGACACUUAUGCUUUAAAGAAGAGGGAUGAUAAAACUUGUCAUACUCUCGAGAACCCCUUUGCUAAACCUUGCUUUUUCAUUGUGGACACAAUUUGUAGUGCUCAAGUCUUUUACGAUACUCCCACUACUAUUCUUGAGAAUAUAAUUCCUUAUGUGGAGAGUAAUAAAAUUUCUAUGCUUGUAGAUCAUGAAAAGAAUGCUUUAGGUACAGGUUAUAUUGUUGAAUUCAUUCAUGAUGCUACUGAAAAUUACUAUCAGAGAGGAUCAUAUGCUUCUACUUAUUGCAAUAGUAUCAAGCUUCGUCCCCAUAUGUUGAAAUUUUUGAAGCUAUGCUUGUUUUGCCUUCCUAUGCUAGUUGAUUCUUGCUCCAAUAAAUUGUUUGAUCACAAAAUCCCUAUGCAUAGGAAGUGGGUUAGACUUAAAUGUGCUAGCCACUUGCUCCAUGAUGCUCUCGCUGUGUUUCAAUCCUUACCUUUUAUGUGAGCAUCAUUGAAAUCAAUGCCUAGCUAAGGGCGUUAAACGAUAGUGCUUGUUGGGAGGCAACCCAAUGAAUAAAUUUUUCUUUGCUUUUUGCUUCCUGUUUUGUUUUCUCCACACCAUCAUAAUUCUGUUAUGAUUGUGUCUUUUGUGUUUCUUUUUGUGUUUGUGCCAAGAAAAACCGUUAUGAUUAGUCUUGGUGAUGAUUGUUUGAUCAUGCUGGAAAAAGACAGAAACUUUCUGCUCACGAAAAGAAUUUUCAUUUUUUUCUGUAAGAGCUUUUGAGUUGAUUCCUUUUGCUACUGAUUUCUAUGCAAUUUAUUCAGACUGUCGUAAUUUGUCAGAAUUUUUUGAAGUACCGGAAGUAUACAAAGUAUACAGAUUGCUACAGACUGGUCUGCUAUUAACAGAUUCUGUUUUUGUUCAGUUGGUUGCUUAUUUUAAUGAAACUAUGGAUAGUAUCGGAGGGUAUUAGCCAUGGAAGACUGAAAAUACACUAACCCAACAUCAGCAUAAGUAGAAUUUAAGUUUGCUACAGUACCUAAGGAAGUGGUGGUUUUCUUUCUCAUAGUAAUGUUAUCACGAGUUUCUGUUUAAGUUUCGUGUUGUGAAGUUUUCAAGUUUUGGGUGAAGUUCUUAUGGACAAAGAUAUAAAGAGUGGCAAGAGCUCAAGCUUGGGGAUGCCCAAGGCACCCCAAGAUAUUCAAGGAUGCCGUAAAAGCCUAAGCUUGGGGAUGCCCCGGGAAGGCAUCCCCUCUCUUGUCUUCAAUCCAUCAGUAACGUUACUUGGGGCUAUAUUUUUAUUCAUCACAUGUUAUGUGUUUUUGCUUGGAGCGUCUUGUAUCGUAGGAGUCUUUAAUUUUUGUUGUGUCACAAUCAUCCUUGCUGCACACCUAGAGAGAGAUACAUGCACUCAUUGUGGCUUUGUCGAGCUUCACUUAUAUCCUUUGGUAGACAAUUCAGCUCACAUGUGCUUCACUUAUAUCUUUUGAGCUAGAUACUUUUGCUCUGUGUGCUUCACUUAUAUCUUUUAGAGCACAACGGCGCGUGGCUUGGUAGUUGAUCUAUGCUUUGAAAGUAGUCUCAAAAGGGGUAGUUAUCCAAAGGGAUAUGAAAACUUCCACCUUCAUGUGCAUUGAAUAGUUAGAAAAGUUUGAUUCAUCUCAAUUAGUUUUGAGUUGUGGUUAUGGUAAUUUUGAAGUCAUGCUAGUAAGGUGUUGUGGAUCUAGAAAUACUUGUGUUGAAGUUAGUGAUUCUCGUAGCAUGCACGUAUGGUGAACCGCUAUGUGAUGAAGUCUGAGCAUGAUUAGUCUUUUGAUUGUCAUCCUUUGCGUGGCGGUCGGGAUCGCGCGAUGGUUUAUACCUACCAACCCUUCCCCUAGGAGUAUGCGUUGAAUGGUUUGUUUCGAUUACUAAUAAAACUUUUGCAACAAGUAUAUGAGUUCUUCAUGACUAAUGUUGAGUCCAUGGUUUUUAUGCACUUUCACCUUCCAUCAUCACUAUCUUCUUAGUGCCGUGCAACUUUCGCCGGUGCACAAAACCCACCAUUAGCCUCCCUCAAAACAUCCACCAUACCUACCUACUAUGGCUUUACCAAAGUCAUUCCGAGAUAUAUUGCCAUGCAACUACCACCAUGACAUGUUCCGCCAUGUCUACAUUUCCAUUGCAUGAUCAUAAGAUAGCUAGCAUGAUGUUUCCAUUAAUGUCUAUGCCAUGCUAGAUCAUUGUCACGGUACACUACCGAAGGCAUUCCAUAUAGAGUCAUCCUUGCUCUAAGUUUUGAGUUGAAAGUGUGAUGAUCAUCAUUGAUGGAGCAUUGUCCCAUGUGAGGAAAUAAAAGAGGCCAAAGAAGCCCACCAAAAAAAAGAGGCCAAAGAUCCCACCAAAAAAAUAAUAAAAAUAAUAUGAGAGAAAAACAGAGAAGGGACAAUGCUACCACCUUUCCACACUUGUGCAUAUUAAGCACCAUAAUCUUCAUGAUUGAGAGUCUCUCGUUUUGUAACCACCAUAUAGCUAGUGGGAAAUUUUCAUUAUAUAACUUGGAUUGUAUAUUCCAAUGAUAGGCUUCCUCAAAAUUUCCUUAGGUCUUCGUGAGCAAGCAAGUUGGAUGCACACCCACUAGUUUUCUUUAAGAGCUUUCACAUACUCUUAGCUCUAGUGCAUUAUUUGUAUGGCAAUUCCUACUCAUUCACGUUGAUAUCUAUUGAUGAGCAUCUCCAUAGCUCAUUGAUAUGCCUAGUCAAUGUGACCAUCUUCUCCUUGUUUGCCUUGCAACCUCCACCACACUCCACACCACUUAUAGUGCUAAAACCAUGGCCCACGCUCAUGUAUUGCGUGAGAGCUGAAAAGGUUUGAGAAAGUAAAGGUGUGAAAACAAUUACUUGGCCAAUACCAGGGUUGUGCAUGAUUUAAAUUCAUUGUGCAAUGAUGAUAGAGCAUAGCCAGACUAUAUGCUUUUGUAGGGAUAACUUUCUUUUGGCCUAGUUAUUUUGAAAGUUCAUGAUUACCUUGCUAGUUUGCUUGAAUUAUUAUUGUUUCCACGUCAAUAGCAAACUAUUGUUUUGAAUCUAACGGAUCUGAACAUUCAUGUCACAUAAGAGAAGUUACAAAGGACAACUAUGCUAGGUAGCAUGCAACAUCAAAAAUUCGUUCUUUAUCACUUCCCUACUCGAAGACGAGCACGAGUUAAGCUUGGGGAUGCUUGAUACGUCUCCAACGUAUCUAUAAUUUUGAUGGUUCCAUGCUAUUAUCUUGUCAACUUUGGAUGUUUUGUAUGCAUGAAUAUGCUAUUUUAUAUCUUUUUUGGGACUAACCUAUUAACUCAGUGCCAAAUGCCAGUUUCUGUUUUUCCGUGUUUUUGGCCCAUUUUCAAACGGAGUCCAAAUGGAAUGAAACUUUAUGAUGAUUGUUUUGGACCAAAAGAGGCCCCCGAAGCUUUGGAAGAAGGCUAGAAGAGCCACGAGGGAGUCACAAGCCCUGACGCCGCCACCACCCCCUAGGUGGCGCAGUGCAAGCUUGUGACCUCCUCGUGGGCCCAACCGAUGUAAUUCCACCGCCAUAAAUUCCAAUAAAUUCAAAACCCCCCAAAAAGAAACCUAGAUCGGGAGUUCCGCCGCCGCAAGCCUCUAUAGCCACCAAAAACCAAUCUGGAGCCCGUUCCGGCAUCCUGCCGGAGGGGGAAUCCAUCUCCGGAGGCCAUUUUCAUCAUCCCGGCGAUCUCCAUGGCGAGGAGGGAGUAGUUCUCCCUCGGGGCCGAGGGUAUGUACCAGUAGCUAUGUGUUUCAUCUCUCUCUCUCUCUCGUGUUCUUGAGAUGUCUUGAUCUCGAUGUACCAUGGGCUUUGCUACUAUAGUUGGAUCUUGUGAUGUUCUUACCCCUCUCCCUCUUGUAAUGAAUUGAGUUUCCCCUUUGGAGUUAUCUUAUCGGAUUGAGUCUUUGAGAACACUUGAGGUAUGUCUUGCACGUGCCUAUCUGCUGUGAUCAACUUGCGGGUUUGUGACAAUUGGGAACCUAUACAUAUGGGUUGCCACACGUGGAUUCAUGUGAGUACUUGAUGUAUGUUUUGGUGAUCAACUUGCGGGUUCGUGACAUUGGGAACCUAUGCACACGGGUUCGCACACAUUUUGACUCUCUGGUAGAAACUUUGGGGCACUCUUUGAAGUUCUAUGUGUUGGUUGAAUAGAUGAUUCUAAGAUUAUGUGAUGCAUAUCGUAUAAUCAUGCCCACGGAUACUUGUGGUGACAAUGGAGUAUCUAGGUGACAUUAGGGUCUUGGUUGAUAUGUAUCUUAAGGUGUUAUUCUAGUACGGACUAUAUGAUGGAUCGAUCAGAAAGAAUAACUUUGUGGUGGUUUCGUACCCGACAAUAAUCUCUUCGUUUGUUCUCCGCUAUUAGUAACUUUGGAGUGACUCUUUGUUGCAUGUUGAGGGCUAGUUAUAUGAUCCAAUUAUGUUAUCAUUGUUGAGAGAACUUCACUAGUGAAUGUUUGAACCCUAGGCCUUGUUUCCACGCAUUGCAAUACCGUUCGUGCUCACUUUUGUUACUAGUUACCUUGCUGUUUUUGUAAUUUCAGAUUACAAAAAUCUAUAUCUACCAUCCAUAUUGCACUUGUUUCACCAUCUCUUCGCCAAACUAGUGCACCUAUACAACUUACCAUUGUAUUAGGUGUGUUGGGGACACAAGAGACUCUUUCUUAUUUGGUUGCAGGAUUGCUUGAGAGAGACCAUCUUCAUCCUACGCCUCCCACGGAUUGAUAAACCUUAGGUCACCCACUUGAGGGAAAAUUGCUACUGUCCUACAAACCUCUCCACUUGGAGGCCCAACAACGUCUACAAGGAGAAGGUUGCGUAGUAGACAUCAGAUCCCCAAGCAGUUCAACAGGCAGAUUAUUCUUAAGGAUAGGAUACUGUUCUAAGACAACUCUAUCUAUUUCAUCCCUUUCAUCCAUAUGCAUAUCAUUUUCAUGCUCAAGCAAGUAUUUCUCUAAGGGAUCAGUAGGAGGCACGACAAUAGACGCUAAGGCAAUAGUUUCAUCCUUACUAGGAGAAUCUUUUUAAUGAGGUUGUCUACCAAACUUGGAGAAAUUGAACUCAUGUGACACGCCUUCAAAGCCAAUAGUGACAGUUUGCUUCUCACAGUCAAUAUGAGCAUUGAUAGUAUUGAGAAAAGGUCUGCCAAAUAUGAUGGGACAAAAGCUAUCUUGGGUGGUAGCAAGAACGAGGAAAUCAGCAGGAUACUUUGUUUUACCACACAAGACUUCAACAUCCCUAACAAUACCCACAGGGCAGGUAGUAUCUCUAUUGGCAAGCUGAAUAGUGACAUCAAUAGGUUCUAUCUCAAUAGGUGCAAUCUCGUCUUUGAUUUAAUCAUAUAAGGAUUGAGGUAUUGCACUAACACUAGCACCCACGUCACAUAAACCAUGAUAACAAUGAUCUCCUAUCUUAAUAGAAACAACAGGUGUGCCAACAACAUGCCUAUGUUUGUCUCUAGCGUGAGGUUUAGCAAUUAUAGCAGCAUCUUCACAGAAGUGACUAUUAUGUCCCUCAACAUCGUCGGACAGAAGAUCUUUGAUAAUAGCAAUGCUAGGUUCAAAUCUAAUUUGCUCAGGGGGUGUAGGUGUUCUAAUGUAGCCUCUACGUAUCACAGUUGAAGCUUUAGAAUGAUCCUUUAUCCUAACAGGGAAAGGUGGUUUCUCAAUGUAAGCAAUGGGAACAAUAGGAUCAUUAUAGGCAAUGACUCUCUAUUCAACUGGAUUGGGUCUAACUACAUUGACUUCUAAGGGAGGAUGAUAUUUAAACCACUUAUCUUUGGGGAGAUCAAUAUGAGCAGCAAAUGAUUCUCACAGUGAAGAUACUAUCUCAGAGUCAAGUCCAUACUUAGCGCUAAAAUCACAAAAUGUAUUUGUUUCAACAAAGGAUUUAACGCAAUCAAACUUGAAAUUCAUACCUGACUCCUUACCUUCUUCAAGCUUCCAAUCUUCAGAGUUGCGUUUUAUUCUCUCCAAUUAAUUCCAUUUGAAGUCAAUAUAUCUCUUCAUAAAAGAACCGGUACAAGAAGUGUCAAGCAUGGUGCGAUCAUCAUGAGAAAGCCGAGCAUAGAAGUUCUGAAUGAUAAUUUCUCUCGAGAGCUCAUGACUGGGGAAUGAAUAUAACAUUGAUUUAAGCCUCCCCCAAGCUUGAGCGAUGCUUUCUCUGUCACGAGGCCAAAAAUUAUAAAUAUAAUUUCGAUCACGAUGUACUAAAAGCAUAGGAUAAAACUUUUGAUGAAUUUCCAAUUUCAACCGAUUGUAGUCCCAUGAUCUAGUAUCAUCACAUAGCCUAUACCAUGUCAACGCCUUAUCCUUCAAAUAUAAAGGAAAGACCUUCUUCUUGACCUCAUCCUCGGGCAAACCUGCAAGCUUAAAUAAACCACAACUUCAUCUACAUAGAUUAGAUGCAAGUCUGCAUGUGAUGUUCCAUCUCCUGUAAAAGGAUUAGCCAGCAGUUUCUCAAGCAUACCCGAAGGAAAUUCAAAGCAAAUAUUUUCAAUAGGUGCAGCAGGUUGAGGAGAAACUCUUUGUCCUUCCGUUCGAGGUGAAGAUACCCCGAACAAGCCCCUCAAAGGAUUAGUUUCCAUAGUGACAAGCGACAAUAAAUUUCAGCACACUAUAUGAAUGUUUCCUUACCAAGUUCCACUUACCAAAGGCGCUUCACUCCCCGGCAACGGCGCCAGAAAAGAGUCUUGAUGACCCACAAGUAUAGGGGAUCAAUCGUAGUCCUUUCGAUAAGUAAGAGUGUCGAACCCAACGAGGAGCAGAAGGAUCUGACAAGUGGUUUUCAACAAGGUAAAAUCUCCAAGCAUUGAAAUUAUCGGUAACAAGUGAUUGUGUGGUGAGAUGAUUCGUAGAAAGUACCAAGUAACAAAAGUAGAAACGGUGCAGAAAAGUGUCCCAAUCACUUUUGUAGCAAGGGACAAGCCUGGACAAAGUCGUAUAGGAGGAAAAACGCUCCCGAGGACACACAGAAAUUUCUGUCAUGCUAGUUUUCAUCAUGUUCAUAUGAGUCGCGUUCGUUACUUUGAUAGUUUGAUAUGUGGGUGGACCGGCGCUUGGGUACUGCCCUUACUUGGACAAGCAUCCCACUUAUGAUUAACCCCUCUUGCAAGCAUCCGCAACCACGAAAGAAGAAUUAAGACAAAGUCUAACCAUAGCAUUAAACUAAUGGAUCCAAAUCAGCCCCUUACGAAGCAACGCAUAAACUAGGGUUUAAGCUUCUGUCACUCUAGCAACCCAUCAUCGACUUACUACUUCCCAAUGCCUUCCUCUAGGCCCAAAUAAUGGUGAAGUUUUAUGUAGUCGACGUUCACAUAACACUACUAGAGGAAAAAGAACAUACAACACAUCAAAAUAUCGAACGAAUACCAAAUUCACAUGACUACUAUUAGCAUGACUUAUCCCAUGUCCUCAGGAACAAAAGUAACUACUCACAAAGCAUAAUCACAUUCAUGACCAGAGAGGUAAUGAGUAGCAUCAAGGAUCUGAACAUAAACUCUUCCACCAAGUAAUCCAACUAGCAUCAACUACAAGGAGUAAUUAACACUACUAGCAACCUUACAAGUACCAAUCGGAGUCGCGAGACGGAGAUUGGUUACAAGUGAUGAACUAGGGUUUGGAGAUGAGAUGGUGCUGAUGAAGAUGUUGAUGGUGAUGAGUCCCCUCUGAUGAGAGGAGUGUUGGUGAUGACGACGAUGGCGAUGAUUUCCCCUCCGGGAGGGAAGUUUCCCCGGCAAGAUCGUCGUGCCGGAGCUCUAGAUUAGUUCUGCUCAAGUUUCGCCUCGUGGCGGCGGCAAAUCCUCCGAAAAGUCUCCUCCUGAUUUUUUUCGGAAUGAAACCCUUCAUAUAGAAGAAGAGGGGGGCCAGUGGGCCAGCAGGGAUCCCACAAGCCCCCUAGGCGCGGCCAGGGGGGUGGCCGCGCCUACCAGGCUUGUUCCCCCUGGUUGCGCUCCACUCGCACUUCUUCGGCCCAGUAUUUUUUAUAUAUUCCCAAAAAAUCCACGUUGAUUUUCACGGCUUUUGGAGUUGCGCAGAAUAGGUAUCUCAAAUUUGCUCCUUUUUCAGGCCAUAAUUCCAGCUGUCGGCAAUCUCCCUCUUCAUGUAAACUUGCAAAAUAAGAGAGAAAAGGCAUAAGUAUUGUACCAUGAAGUGAAAUAACAGCCCAGGAAGCAAUAAAUAUCAACAUAUAAGCAUGAUGCAAAACGGACGUAUCACGCGCCUCCUCCAAAGCCUCGCGGUCUCGUGCCACACUUUCUUAAGCCUGGCGGGUGAGCUCGCCCUGGAGGGCCUCGGCCACCUCGGUCUCCUUCGCCAGCUGAGCCUGCACCUUGGUCAAGGCGGCGUCCUUCUCCUCUAGGGCGGCGUCCUUCCGCUUCGCCUCCUCAAGAUGAACAUUCUCCAAUCGCUCUAGGUCGGCGGUAUGGGAUAAAUCAUUCUCCUGCAGGGCAGCACGCAGCUGCUGUAGCUCCAUCUAAUGGGCCAUCUCACAGUCCUUCUUCUCCGUCUGGAGAAGAUACAGCUGCAGGCGGAGCUGCUUGUCCUCUUCGUGCAAGGCAUCACGCUCUGAGAUAGUAGUGUCUAGCUGGCUCUGAAGGUUGCCGGUUCGGCCCUCGCCCCGCUGGAUCUGGGUUAGCAGCGUGUUCUACGCCUGCACCUGGGCGUCAUGGAGUUCCUACGACCAACACAAACAAAGAAAAGAAUGAGAUUCGGCCCGGCUAACUCUCAGCCGGCCCGAUUCUCGGGGGCUACGCCAAGUGGGUGUGCUGGCGCGCCCCCACUAAAAAAGAAACAACAAGCAAGGCGAUAAUGAGAUUCGGCCCGGCUAAAUCUUAGCCGGCCUGAUUCUCGGGGGCUACACCUAGUGGGUGCGCUCGCGCGCCCCCACUGACGCAAAAACAAGGAGAAAAGGUCAAACCAAACCAACUGAAAGGCGCGGGUUUGAAGACUUACCACGGUCCGUCCUUGGAGGCGCUCCAGGUCACAUUUGGCCACCAGGGCCGCGUGCGCCAACUUCUCGCGGCUGCGGGAGAAUUCCGCCACCAGCGUCGGGAUGCUGCUGAGAGCGGCGCCUGGAGGUAGGGCUGCGCUUUCGGCAUUGGACACGUGCCAGGUCUUCAUCCGCCAGCCCUCGGAGAUGAGGCUGGCUCCGGAUGCGGAUGAGUCGUGGCCGACUACGACUGUGGUGCCGUCUCCGGGCGGUGUGCUCGUGGCCGGCUCCUUCGAUGCCUCGGCCGAUAUCGUCUCUGCGACGGGAGGUGGAUGCGCCGCUUCCAGCACCUCCAUCGCUAUCUCCGGCGCGCCAUCUACACCAGCAUCAGGCGCGGCGGGGAUAACGUCGUGGUUCACUGGUGUGGAGGGCGCCGGUUCGGUGGUCUUGGCUGUCCUGGCCGCCUCGUCACGAUUCUGUGCUGGCUCACUGGCCGGAAUCUCCACACGCGCCUGUGAGGAGGGGUCGUGCUUCGUCUUUGACCGCGUGUCCUUGGUGGCCGGUUCUUGACCCGUCGGGGCUGGGUUCGGCCCUCAGCCGCCUCCUCCCAUGGGCGAUUCUCUUCCUCAAGCAGAGCGUUCCUGGCGAUGUCGGCGGCGGUUCGCUCGGCAGCGGAAGCAGUAUCUUCCUCCGCCGUCUCGACAUCCCUGUCGGUUGCAAACCGGUGAUGGAAAGUGCUUCAUACCAAAGAACCAAAAAAGACGGGGGGAAUGUUCCCUUUCCCGAUGACGACGGGCACCGUCCUCCUACUGGUGGUGGCUCGCUGCUUCUUCGCGGUGCCGCCUUGGCCUCCAGCUGGAGAUCCAGCUACGACAUGCUUAAGAGCUGGCUUGGCAGUGGCAACCUUCUUGCCCUUCUGUCGUGCUGCUUCGCCCUGCGCUCCCGUCUCACCGGCGGCUCGACAAGGUCGUGUCAGGGGAGGGAUGGAGACCUCCUCCAGGUCCUCUUGGUCCUCUUCGUCAACUGCAUCACGCAAGGGAGGUGGUGUUUCACCAUCAUCUGUCCAAUCAAGAAGGGCAGACUUAAGAUGCUCACCAGGCGGCUCGGUGCCCUCUGACUCAGCCGCCCCUUCCACGUCUUCAAAGGCGGAGAUCUCUGACUCCACCAGCCCCUCAUCCUCUAUCUCAAUUGGGACCGACGCCUCCACAUCGGUAGCCGGCUGUCAAUAGCCCUGCCAGCGCUCGAACAGCUGGGGGAAGGAGCCACAGUUCGCCGUCAGAAGAUGGGAAGAAUACUCAAGAAGAUAAGAAAAAGACUCUGGGAAAGUGCUUACCAUUGGAGCCGGACGGUUUCAGUCGUAAGGGGCCAUGCCCCAUUCCCAAUCCCUGUCUUUGUCCAUGUUGGCGGAGGAGAUCAAUUUCACAUUCUGGGCCACCGCUCCGGCUCGAAAGUUCUUAGUCUAGAGCCAACAGAGGUCGUGUCGGCCGCCCAUAUGGAAAAUCAGGUGCGGUCGCCUUUGUAGAGGCAAGAUCCGACGCGCUACCAUGGUGGCGAGCAGGUCACGGGCUAAGAUGCCUUGGACCUUCAAGUUAUUGAGGUGGGCGCAUACCAGCGCCACCUCGGCAAUCGAGUUCGGAAGCAUCGCCUGCUAGUUCUUCUUGACCGUCGGCGGAACAACGGUGAACGGGGGGAGAUUGAUGAAGUUGCAGGAGGGGUUCACAUUCUUCACAUAGAAGAACCCCUUCUGUCACUUCUUUAUCGAGUCCUGCAGCGGCAGCUGCAGGAAGCCGGACGUCGUCCAUUGGUGCACCAACGUGGCGCCACAGGGGGUCAUCUUCUUCAUGCCGGACUUGUCUGCCGGCACAGACUUGUCCGUCGGCAUGGAUUGCUGCCUGAAGAAGAAGAGCUUGCACCAUAGGUCCAGGCGGGGUUCAAUCCUCAUGAACCCUUCGCACAGAACGACGAAGGCGGCAAGCUGGAGAACAACAUUGGGCGCCAAGUGGUGCGGCUGCGGACCAGAGAAGGAUAGAAAACACGAGAAGAAAUCACUCGCCGGAAGCCCGAAGCCGUGGUACAAGUGUUCCACGAACACUACUGCCUCGCCUUCACCAGGGGUCGGGGCCGCUUCGGCACCGGGUACCCGCACCGCCACGAGGUCCGUUGAAGGAAGCACACGGUGGUGACGAAGCGCCUCGAUGUUCUCAGCGCCGACGUUGUUGCCUACCCAUGCACCUUUGGAUUGCCCCUUCUUGGGGGCGCUGCUAGACAUGGUGGGGCAGCGGAAGGGAGCGAGACGGAGUCUUUGUGGCGAACGGCGGCGACGGCGCGAACAACGGUGAAGGUGAGCAACGCUCUCUUCUUUCUCUGGCUUAGGGAAGGCAGGGGCGUUUGUACAGGGCGAGAAGGGGGCGAAUGGCCUCCUGGACGCCCCCGCAUACCAUUUAAACCCCCCAAGAGAUCAGGGGGGGAUCCGGUGCGCAUGUUCCCCACCUUCUUCGAUUAUUGCGGUAACAUUUACGCUCGUCAGAGCCCAACCACCGCGGAGCGAUCCGCAGAAAAUCCGCGUGCGCAAGGGCCGAUGAGGCGUCGUGGCGGGACCCGGCACGCAGGCCACAUCCCGUCAUCUGCACAAUUAAUCAUGAUGCCGGGACCAGGGCCUGCCAUGUGGCACAACGGUGCUGCCUGCGGCGAAGCCGAGGCGUUCGUUGGAAGCCAGCCGGCUUCCGACUCGGCGUCUCGUGCAACAAGCGACCCUUGAAGACCGUCAUCCAGGAAUUCAAGCCGGCGAGGUCCUCCACCUCGAGGCGGCGGACCUCCCAUGCUUCGGGGACUACUGACGGGGGGAUAACCCUGGGGUAGGCUCAUCGAGCCUAUUCCUUUGCACCCAAGUAUAAAGGGAAUCUUGAGCUCCCUCCAAACAACCCACUCUUCCUGGCCGGCUAGGAAGCGCCUUCUGGCUAGGAGCAAGACAGCUACUCCUCCUGGCCGUCUAGGACGCCACCUACCGGCUAGGGGCGAGACGGCAACUCCAAGGCCGGCUAGCGAGAUCCUGUCACAUCCAACCCUAGGCUAUGACGGGACUAUGAUUAAAGGUAAAGACGCGUCAGCACAGGCACAAGGUUGAGGCGCACGGCAGAUACGGUGUCAGCGGCCAUGUCGCUCACCUACGCUAGCUCCGAUCCGUCAACCCAGCAUAGUACCGGCCCGCCAGCACCCACUCCAUUACCAAGCUUGGCAUGGUAACAGUGGAGACGGCCGUACCGGUGACCCAUGACGAAUCUCGCAAGACGACGCCGGACGUACCACACGUAUCCUACAUGGGCCUCAUGCAAGAGCCCCAUUGGCUGGCCGACGGGUCCCAUGGCCAGAUGGGACCUCGCAGCCGGCUGGCCCCUCCAAUGACAAGACUAGACCACGACGGGCUCCGUGGCCAACCGGCGAGGCUGCCAAACGGGUCCCCCUUUAUUUACUUUUAUCCAUAUUGUCGAUCGGUGGGUUCGCCUACAAAACCCCCCGAUCCCCCUCGAUGCAGAGGGUCGGUCAACUUCACACACACACACUCACCCACUCAUACAGGAGAGGUAGACGCGAGCCGGCUGCUCCUUCUUCCUCCUUCGUCAAACAGCUCAAGGAGCACAUUGUAAUCCCUUUGGUUCAUCAACCAUUCCGGCAGGACUAGGGGUAUUAUCUGCCACGGAGAGCCCCGAACCUGGGUACAUCGUGCGUGUAUCUCGCUUGUACCAAUCCCGUUCCCGGAGCCCGCCGGUGUCCUUCGGUUCCCACCACUCAUGAUUAGCCUACCCAUGGCUACUGUCAUGAGUAAACGACGACAAUGAAUGAUCCCCUCAUUAUACAAACACUUAGUCCCGGGUUUGGGUUCAACCUUGGGUCUCUUCAUUAGAGUAGCAACUGGUUUGCCGUUUCAUGAAGUAUCCUUUCUUGCCCUUGCCCUUCUUGAAACUAGUGGUUUUACUAACCAUCAACAAUUGAUGCUCCAUUUUGAUUUUUACUUUCGCGGUGUCAAACAUCGUGAAUAGCUCAAGGAUCAUCAUAUCUAUCCUUGAUAUGUUAUAGUUCAUCACAAAACUCUAGUAGCUUGGUGGCAGUGACUUUGGAGAACCCUCACUAUCUCAUCUAGAAGAUUAACUCCCACUCGAUUCAAGCGAUUGUAGCACUCACACAAUCCGAGAACAUGCUUAACGAUUGAGCUUUUCUCCCUAACUUUGUAGACAAAGAAUCUUGUCGGAGGUCUCAUACCUCUCAACAAGGGCACGAGCCUGAAAUUCCAAUUUCAUCCCUUGGAACAUCUCAUAUAUCCCACGGCAUUCGAAAUGUCUUCAGCGCCUCAAUUCUAAGCCGUUUAAGCAUUAUGCACUAAACUAUCAUGUAGUCAUAAAAAACAUGUAUGUCAAAUGUUCGCGACAUCUAGAGACGACGCUCGGGGUUUAGCACAUCGGACGGUGCAUUAAGGACAUAAGCCUUCUGUGCAGCAAUGAGGACAAUCCUGAGUUUACGGACCCAGUCCGCAUAAUUGUUACUAUCAUCUUUCAACUAAGUUUUCUCUAGGAACAUAUUAAAAACAGUAUAGCUACAACACAAGCUACAACAUAAUUUGCAAAGAUCUUUUGACUAUGUUUAUGAUAAUGAGUUCAAUUAAUUAUAUUACUUAUGAACUCCCACUCAAAUUGAUAUCCCUCUAGUCAUUCGAGUGUCGCAUGAUCCAAAUUGACUAACUCAAGUCCGAUGAUCACGUGAGUUGAUUUUAGUUUCAAUGGUGAACAUCUCAAUGAUGAUCAUAUCAACUAUAUGAUUCAUGCUCGACCUUUAGGUCUCUUGUGUUUCGAGGCCAUGUUUGUACAUGCUAGGCUCAUCAAGUUUAACCCUAGUGUUCCGCGUGUGCAACUUUUUGCACCCGUUGUAUGUGAACGUUGAGUCUAUCACACCCUAUCAUCACGUGGUGUCUCGAAACGACGAACUGUCACAAUGGUGCACAGUUGGGAAGAACACAUUUUAUCUUGCAAUUUUAGUGAGGGAUUACCUUAUAAUGCUACCGUCGUCCUAACAAAAACAAGGUUCAUAAAAGGAUUAACAUCACAUGCGAAUCAUAAGUGACAUGAUAUGGCCAUGAACUUGUGCUUCUUGAUCUCCAUCAUCAAAGCACCGACAUGAUCUCCAUCGUCACCGACGCCACACCAUGAUCUCCAUCAUAGUGCUGCCAUCAAGGUUGUCGCGUUAACUAUGUUGUUACUACUAAAGCUACUACUAGCGAUAAAGUAAAGAAUCACCAAGCACAAAAAUAAUUGAAGACAAACCUAUGGCUCCUGCCGGUUACCGUGGCAUCGACGUGCAAGUCGAUAUUUAACUAUUACAACAUGAUCAUCUCAUACAUCCGAUAUAUCAUAUCAUGUUUUUGGCCAAAUCACAUCACAUGCAUACCCUGCGAAAACAAGUUAGAUGUCCUCUAAUUUGUUGUUGCAUGUUUUACGUGGCUGCUAUGGGUAUCUAGUAUGAUCGCAUCUUACUUACACAAACUCACAACUAUGAUAUGCAAGUUGCUAUUUAACCAUCUCCAAGGACCACCUCGGUCAAAUCUGAUUCAACUAAAGUUGAAGAAACAUGCACCCGCCAGUCAUCUUUAUGCAACAAGUUGCAUGUCAGUCGAAGAAACCGGUCUCUUGUAAGCGUACAAGUAAAGUUAGUCUGGGCUGCUUCUGUCCAACAAUACCGCCGAAUCAAAAAAAUACUAAGGAGGGCAGCAAAUUGAACAUCAACGCCCACAAACUCUUUUGUGUUCUACUCGAGAUGUCAUCUAUGCAUGAACCUAACUCAUGAUGCCACUGUUGGGGAAUGUUGCAUGGGAAAGAAAUUUUUUCCUAUGCACAUGGAAUACCUAUUCAUGGUGAUGAUCAUCUACGAGAGGGGAGAGUGAAUCUGCAUACCCUUGUAGAUCGCUAAACGGAAGCGUAUAUUACGCGGUUGAUGUAGUGCAACAUCUUCGCGAUCCAAAUCGCAUUCCAUCCCGUGAUCUCAUCACGAUCCGUCCCGCGAUCCCAACACGAUCCAUCCCGAUCUAGUGCCGAGCGGACGACACCUCCGCGUCCAACACACGUACAGCUCGACGAUGAUCUUCGCCUUCUUGAUCCAGCAAGAGGGGGCGGAGAGGUAGAUGAGUUCUUUGGCAGCACGGCGGCGUGACAUCGAUGGUGGUGGCGCUAGUCGAGCAGGGCUUUGCCUAAGCACCAUUUAAACUAGACUACAGGAGAAACAGAUCUAGAGAGAAAGAGAGAGGUAGUCGUGGCUUAUUUCUGUCUCCAAAACCCUCAAAAACCUCUAGUAUAUAUAGGAGGAGAGGAGAGGAGGCAACCUUGGUCCCUACUCCAAGGAUAAGGGAUCGGCCGAACCAAGGAAGUGUCCUCCUUCCCUUCCUACUUUUAGAGGACUCCUCCUUCCCCUCCUUUUAAAGGCCUUUUACCUUUUAUCUCCUCUCCUAGACGCACGGGCAUUUGAGAGAGGCUUCGGCCAGCCCAGGGCUGGUCCACCUCCUCUCAUUGCCCAUAAGGCUCUUGGGUUGUCACAACACUCUCGGUGGUCCCUCGGCACCCUCCCGACACCCCCGGUACACUACCGUUGAGCCUGAAACUUUUCCGGUGACCAAAACAUGACUUCCGAUAUAUCAAUAUUUACUUCCGGACCAUUCCGGGGCUCCUCGUGAUGUCCAUGAUCUCAUCCGGGACUAUUAACCUUCGGUCACCAACACCUAUAACUUAACUAUACCGAAACGUCAUCAAACCUUAAGUGUACAAACCCUGCGGGUUCGAGAACUAUGUAGACAUGACCGAGACACUCUCCGGUCAAUAUCCAAUAGCAGGACCUGGACGUCCAUAUUGGUCGUACAUAUUCUACGAAGAUCUUAUCAGUUGAACCUCUAUGGCAAGGACUCACACAAUCCCGUAUGUCAUUCCCUUUCUCCUUCGGUAUGUUACUUGCCCGAGAUUCGAUCGUCGGUAUCGCCAUACCUAUUUCAAUAUCAUUACCGACAAAUCUCUUUACUUGUUCCGUAAUACAAUAUCCCGUGACUAACUCCUUAGUCACAUUGCUUGCAAGGCUUCUUGCAAGUGGGCCUCGAGACACCUCUCCGUCACACGGAGUGACAAAUCCCUGUCUUGAUCCAUGCUAACUCAACGGACACCUUCGGAGAUAGCUGUAGAGCACCUUUAUAGUCACCCAAUAACGUUGCGACGUUUGAUACACAAGGCAUUCCUCCGGUGUGAGUGAGUUACAUGAUCUCAUGGUCAUAGGAAUGUAUACUUGACAUGCAGAAAACAAUAGCAACAAAAUAACAUGAUCACAUGCUACAUUUAUAGUUUGGGUCUUGUCCAUCACAUAUUUCUCUUAAUGAUGUGAUCCCAUUAUCAAGUGACAACACUUGUCUAUGGCCAGGAAACCUUGACCAUCUUUGAUCAACGACCUAGUAACUAGAGGCUCACUAGGGACAGUGUGUUGUCUAUGUAUCCACAUAUGUAUUUGAGUUUCCAAUCAAUACAAUUUUAGCAUGGAUAAUAAACGAUUAUCAUGAACAAGUAAAUAUAAUAACAACCAAUUUAUUAUUGCCUCUAGGGCAUAUUUCCAACACACUAAUUGUCCAAUGACUAAGCCUCUAGUCUUUGGAUCCCCAAAUGCAUGCCCUCGGCCUCCUUUUAAAGGUCAAAGGGGUCACCAACAAUGGCAACACAGGGUUCCCAUGGGGUGCACAGUGAAACAGUGCACUCACAGGGCGUACAGUUAAGUACAGUGUCUCCGGCAUCUAAGCAGACGCAUUAAAUGCUUCGUCAGGUGCUCUAGAUAUGGGACUGGAACGCGUCCCCUGGGCACUGUUUUCCCCAGAUACCUCUCGACAAGCGUCUUGUGAAUCGACACAUACCAAGUGGCGAGGCGUAGCUGGCCGCUGCGCUGGCGCAGAGGUGAGGUGGGACCUUGGCGGGGACGGUCGUACUGGGGCUUCGCUAGGCUCCCCGACAAGGAUUUUGCCAAGGGCCUCGUGAGCCUCCCCAGCAAGGAUCUUGCCGGGGGAUCUGUCUUCGGUCUUCAAACUUCCGGGUUUCCCCUUGCGCACCCUUGACAGCAGCGCAACACUCCGGGGAGGUGCGUUUGCUGGAGUGGGCGCUUGAGGUCUUGUCGGGCAUUUGCCUUGGCGGGGCUCUACUAGCCCCCACCCCGUCAAGCAACUUGCCGGGGCACCCUUCUUCUGGCUUCGGUCUUCUGGUUUGCUGAUCUAAGCGCCUUCUCGACGGCUUCGCAUCUGCCUUCCGUUUUCCCGGCUGGCCUUGCCGCAGGCGUGGCUACUACUGCCCGUGCACAAGUCUGGGGCGCUAAAGGCCCAAACUUUAGCGCACCGACAUAACCCUAGCCUGAUCCCCUCAUCCUCAUCUUGAUCCCGUCCAAAAUCACUAAUCGAGGAGUACACCUUUCAAAGAUCACUCUCAUGUCCUGAGGUUGCGACAAGUGGUGCAUUGCAUGCGUGCCACUUGUCGUAACCAGGGAAUUUUCCUUUUUUCGUAAAUCUGUAUUUUCAAAAAAAAUUAUCUUCUAAACCGUGCGUCCAAAUCUCGAACCAUUUUUUACCAUUGGGUUUCUCCUGUAGAGAUCUUCAAAACUAGAUCCCGUGUCGAUAGGUUUUGAUGAACUUCCUUUUCACAAAAAAAACGGACCAAAAGAACCGUGCCUCUCGUGAUAGAAAAUGCGUUCUUUCACUUUUUUACCUUUUUGAUAGUCAUGACCGUGCCUCUCAUGAAGGAAAAAACCGUGCCUCUCACGAAGGGGAAACCGUGCCUGUCACGAAAGCUAAACCGUGCCUCUCACAAAAAACAGAAACCACGUUUUUCCCUUUCCGGUAGGCACGACCGCGCCUCUCGCGAAGGCAAAAUUGUGCCUCACGCGGAAGCAAAACUGUGCUGCUCGCAAAAAAUGCGUUUUGUUUUUGUUUUCGAGAGGCACGACAAUGCUUAUCGAAAAGGGAAAAACGCGUUUUCUGUUUUUUCAGAAAGACAAUGCCUUUCACGAAAAAAUCAUGUUUUUUCACGCAAUUUGUUGUCAAAAAGCUAAGAAAAACGAUGAAAAACUGAAACACGGAAAAAAUCAAAAAAAAUAAACAUUCUAAAAAGAUGAAAAUGAUGCGAAAAAAUAAAUGAACAAAAUCUAAAAAAACGCUCAAAACACGACACAUGACGGUAACUGAGAGAGUAGGUGACAUCACAUGAGCAUGUGCUUGCCCGGAGGCUGCCGAAAAAGCACUCGCUAGUUUCUAUCGAUCCUCCCACCAACGCCGCCACCUUCCUGAUUCCGAAUGCCAACUCGAUACCCAUCUCUCUCGAUUGCUCUCCCGAUCCCCCACUCCCCGUUGAUCUGCCAGUUAUGCCACGAACACCUCACCUCCACCCAUCAAUGGCCAUCGCCUCCCUGGCCAUCUGCUACCCUCGCCCACGAGGAGUCCCAUGGCGCCCGCGCCUCCUUCUCCUUCCCUCGCCGGCUUGCCUUACCUUCCUUCCACACUCAUCCACCUGCAAUGGGCGGCACGAAUAUUGCCUCCGUGCUCCUUGUGCCACUGUUGCGCCCCACUGCUCUUCCCCCUGCUCCUCCCCAUGUAUGCCCGCGACCACAAGCCGAUGCCAUGGCCAAGUCCCGAGCUCCUCUCAUGGUCACGCCGCGCCGCCUCGCUCUUCCUGCGCAUCACCGGCUACUUCUCAUGUUGUUGCCUCCUUCCUGCGCACACUGCUGGUUCCGCGUCGGAGCACUGCCCUCGCCUGCAUCCCCAUCAGCGACCUCACCUUUCUCCCCCCACUCCGCCUAGAGCGCGGGAGCUCGUGCCCGAUUGCCUGCCCACCGCUGCUCCCCUGCUUCACCACCAAUUGUGCUUGCCAACACCAUCUUGGCCAUGUUUUGCCUCUUCCGGAACCUCCUCUAGCUGCAAACCAAACUGUUGUUGUUGUUGUUGAGUAAUUAGGCACAAUUUCCAUGAUAAAUUUUAGAAUAUAAAGCAUGACGAUACUAGCUAAUAACAUGUGAAACUCUAACAUACUAGAUGCAGUAGACAACAUGAAUAGAAGCAACACUGUAGAGCAAAACAUGUACGCAUCUAACAUGUUCAUCAGGCCAACGAGAACACGACGCACGUACGGAACAUUUGUAGAUGAAGCAGAUGUGUUCGGUGCAGCUACAUUGUUGACGAUGGCGGGACGAAGUAGAUGACGUUUGAGGCGGCGGUACGCAGCACCGCCCGAUUUGAUAGGUAGACGGCCCGUUGUGGAAGCAGCGAGCAGUCGCGCAGAGCGUUUCGAAAAGACCUAAUUCGCCCUCUCCCGUACAGGAUCACAAAGGCGACUGGUUUUGGAGACCUGCUCUCCCGUUCGCUGUUGGGCGCCGGUGCUCAGUAUGAGGUAGACUACGAUGGCGGCGCAAGUUGUGAGACGAGGCAAAACCCUAGAUGUUUUUCGGUGUGUCUUUGGCCGACUACGAUAGGCAGUAUAUAUAGGAGGACCAAGAUUAGUUCCGUGUUGCGACCACGUCUCAAACCGACUUGGUUUCCAAGUCAUAUACUUACCAGACAAGAAAUUCUUAACUUGUGUGCAAAGACAUAAAAAAUAAAAUGGCAAAAGGAAGCCGCGCCCCCGCAAGGCAUCGGACCGGAAUUUGGUGGACCAUUCACGCGCAUGUUGCACGUACGCCCGACCUGGCCAGGUCAGGCCAGGCAAGCGAGCGCGCGCGUGUGGUUCUCUCCUUUCUCUUCUCAACACACACUUAGAGCAGUGAGGAGAAAUCACUAUAUAAAGAGGUCGAACACUUCCUCCACUAGCGGUAUGGGACUAAACUUUAGCACCACCACACCACCACUUGCCAUUUUAUUCAUGGGCUCAAUUUGAGAUUUCAGAAUUUUGUAGAUGGGCCAAGACCAUUAAUUCUAACAAUUCCCCACCAGACCUCAAAUACCCAUUUAGAGAUUUGCCUUGUCUCUCCGCUUGUUUAAUAUACCAGUGUUUCAGCAGAGACUGUUAAGUUGAACUUCUGCCUAGAACUUCAAGCUACAUCCAUUCACAACUUGACAAUGGAUUAUGCCUUGAAUUGCUAGUUUUAUGUGAACAGGUUUCACUUAAAGUCUUAACCAGUACCUGGAUGCCAGUAGGCUACCCCGUGGUUUGGAGCAUAUACGUCGUACUCCCUGGUCUCUUCGUGAGCUUACUAGAGAUAACCCAAAUCUCCUAGAUUGCGACGUUUUACAAUCGGAGCUCAUAUAGGUCUGUUCUUUCAAGAUUGUCUUGUAGGACAACAUAUUUGCUAUAAUAGCCAAUAGAAUCACAUUAAGGCAUGUUGCCAACCUGCCUAACAGUACUUAAGCCUUAUAGCUCUGAGAGUUUUGCAUCUUCACUUAGAGAUGGUCACUUAUUACUCUCCUAUGUUAACCAAUAGCUUGUUCUUCCCAGGUCCUAAUUCAUGGGAUCUCCGAUCAUAAAGGAUGGGUUACUACUAUGGUGUAACGUCUAUGGGUCUGAUACGUCUCAAACAUAUCUAUAAUUUUUGAUGGUUUCACGCUGUUAUCUUCUCAACUUUGGAUGUUUUGUUUACCUUUUAUAUCUUUUUUGGGACUAACUUAUUAACUCAGUGCCAAGUGCUAGUUCCUGUUUUUUCUGUGUUUUUGACUCUUUUCAGAUCUGAUUUUGGAACGGAGUCCAAACGGAAUAAAAUCCCCAAAAUGAUUUUUUCCAGAACGGAAGAAGAUCGGGAGGCUUGAGGGCCAAGCAAGUGGGCCCAAAGGGAGCCCACAAGCCCUGUUGCCGCGGCCAGGGGGAUGCCGUAGAAACCAAGCUUGUGGCCUCCCUGGCGCUCCCCUGCCCUAGGUCUUUGGCCUAUAAAUUCCCUAAAAAUCCAGAAAAAUCAGGGCGUCCAUGAAAACACUUUUCCACCGCCGCAAGCUUCCGUUUCCGCGAGAUCUCAUCUCGAGACCCUUCCCGGUGCCCUGCCGGAGGGGACUUUGGAGUUGGAGGGCUUCUUCCUCAACAUCAUUGCCCCUCCAAUGACUCGUGAGUAGUUCACUUCAGACCUACGGGUCCGUAGUUAGUAGCUAGAUGGCUUCUUCUCUCUCUUGGAUCUUCAAUACAAAGUUCUCCAUGAUCUUCAUGGAGAUCUAUCCGAUGUAAUCCUCUUUGGCGGUGUGUUUGUCGAGAUCCGAUGAAUUGUGGAUUUGUGGUCAGUUUAUCUAUGAUAUAUAUUUGAGUCUUUGCUGAUUUCUUAUAUGCAUGAUUUGAUAUCCUUGUAAGUCUCUCCGAGUCUUGGGUUUUGUUUGGCCAACUAGAUCAAUGAUUCUUGCAAUGGGAGAAGUGCUUGGUUUUGCGUUCAUACCGUGUGGUGACCUUUCCCAGUGACAGAAAGGGCAGCAAGGCACACAUCGUGUUGUUGCCAUCAAGGGUAACAAGAUGGGCUUUGUCGUAGAUAUGAGAUUGUCCAUCUACAUCAUGUCAUCUUGCUUAAGGCGUUACUCUGUUCUCAUGAACUUAAUACACUAGAUGCAUGCUGGAUAGCGGUCGACGUGUGGAGUAAUAGUAGUAGAUGCAGAAAGUAUCGGUCUACUUGUUUUGGACGUGAUGCCUAUAGAUAUAAUCAUUGCCAUAGAUAAUGUCACGACUUUGCGCAGUUCUAUCAAUUGCUCGACAGUAAUUCGUUCACCCAUUGUCUACUUGCUUUCAUGAGAGAAGCCACUAGUGAACACUACCACCCCCGGUCUAUUCACACCUAUUGUUUCCACUUUCGCUUUUACUUUGCUUUGUUACUUUGUUGCUUUCAGUUCUCACUUGGCAAACAAUCUAUAAGGUGUUGACAACCCCUUCAUAGCGUUGGGAGCAAGCUCUUUGUGUUUGUGCAGGUACUUGUGAUAUUCCUUCACUGGAUCGAUACCUUGGUUCUCAAAACUGAGGGAAAUACUUACCACCGCUGUGCUACAUCACCCUUUCCGCUUCGAGGGAACACCAAUGCAAGGCUCCAAGGCCACGGGGGAAUCCUUUGCAUAUUUGCCUAGGAAGUCCCUAAAGGCGUAGCUGUAGCAGAAGGAUUCCUCGUGCCGUUGCUGAGGAGAAUCAAGACAAGAAUAGUCUCCCGUCAGCACGCUUGUUUCUGGCGCCGUUGGAAGGUCUUUUGUUGCAGCACUNNNNNNNNNNNNNNNNNNNNNNNNNNNNNNNNNNNNNNNNNNNNNNNNNNNNNNNNNNNNNNNNNNNNNNNNNNNNNNNNNNNNNNNNNNNNNNNNNNNNUUUUGCAACAAGUAUAUGAGUUCUUCAUGACUAAUGUUGAGUCCAUGGUUUAUAUGCACUUUCAUCUUCCACCAUCACUAUCUUCUUAGUGCCGUGCAACUUUCGCCGGUGCACAAAACCCACCAUUAGCCUCCCUCAAAACAUCCACCAUACCUACCUACUAUGGCUUUACCAAAGUCAUUCCGAGAUAUAUUGCCAUGCAACUACCACCAUGACAUGUUCCGCCAUGUCUACAUUUCCAUUGCAUGAUCAUAAGAUAGCUAGCAUGAUGUUUCCAUUAAUGUCUAUGCCAUGCUAGAUCAUUGUCACGGUACACUACCGAAGGCAUUCCAUAUAGAGUCAUCCUUGCUCUAAAGUUUUGAGUUGAAAGUGUGAUGAUCAUCAUUGAUGGAGCAUUGUCCCAUGUGAGGAAAUAAAAGAGGCCAAAGAAGCCCACCAAAAAAAGAGGCCAAAGAUCCCACCAAAAAAUAAUAAAAAUAAUAUGAGAGAAAAACAGAGAAGGGACAAUGCUACCACCUUUCCACACUUGUGCAUAUUAAGCACCAUAAUCUUCAUGAUUGAGAGUCUCUCGUUUUGUAACCACCAUAUAGCUAGUGGGAAAUUUUCAUUAUAUAACUUGGAUUGUAUAUUCCAAUGAUAGGCUUCCUCAAAAUUUCCUUAGGUCUUCGUGAGCAAGCAAGUUGGAUGCACACCCACUAGUUUCUUUAAGAGCUUUCACAUACUCUUAGCUCUAGUGCAUUAUUUGUAUGGCAAUUCCUACUCAUUCACGUUGAUAUCUAUUGAUGAGCAUCUCCAUAGCUCAUUGAUAUGCCUAGUCAAUGUGACCAUCUUCUCCUUGUUUGCCUUGCAACCUCCACCACACUCCACACCACUUAUAGUGCUAAAACCAUGGCCCACGCUCAUGUAUUGCGUGAGAGCUGAAAAGGUUUGAGAAAGUAAAGGUGUGAAAACAAUUACUUGGCCAAUACCAGGGUUGUGCAUGAUUUAAAUUCAUUGUGCAAUGAUGAUAGAGCAUAGCCAGACUAUAUGCUUUUGUAGGGAUAACUUUCUUUUGGCCUAGUUAUUUUGAAAGUUCAUGAUUACCUUGCUAGUUUGCUUGAAUUAUUAUUGUUUCCACGUCAAUAGCAAACUAUUGUUUUGAAUCUAACGGAUCUGAACAUUCAUGUCACAUAAGAGAAGUUACAAAGGACAACUAUGCUAGGUAGCAUGCAACAUCAAAAAAUUCGUUCUUUAUCACUUCCCUACUCGAAGACGAGCACGAGUUAAGCUUGGNNNNNNNNNNNNNNNNNNNNNNNNNNNNNNNNNNNNNNNNNNNNNNNNNNNNNNNNNNNNNNNNNNNNNNNNNNNNNNNNNNNNNNNNNNNNNNNNNNNNAGCUCUAUAACUCGGAUUUCCGGCUCCCUCCGGGACUUUCCGAGAGCCGGACGCCCGUCCCCUUUCGGAAAUCCGGUACCUCCCACCAGAAGCAGUUGAGUCGAAUAACUCGGAUUUCCGGCCUCCCGCCRGACGUCCGGUCGCUAUUCCAAUUCACAGUAUUUUUAGUUCGAUAUCGUACACGCCUCGGACGACAGACCACUGUCGGACGUCCGACCCCUCGCGGACGCCCGGACUUCCGGAAACUGUCGGACGUCCGGACCGUGUGUGACUUAAAGUGUCCCCAACGGCUGUUUUUCUCUCCCCACUAUAAAUACCCCACUCCCACUUCGUGAUAGGGUUUCCCAACACAGCCUUAUCGUCAUAAGAACACACUUCUACCUCACACACAUUUGCUCACACCAAAUCUUAGAUCCCAAGAGCAUUUGUGAACUCCUUUGAGAGUUGUUCCAAUCAAAAGAUAGAUCGUCUCCCUCUCUUCCUCUCAACCCAAGCUAUUUGAGAUUUGAGCAAGUUUUGAGCAUUCCCCGUGAUCUUGUUACUCUUGGAGGUUGGAGACUCCUAGGCGGUAGGAGUUCUUCGGAGAGGAAUCAAUCCGUGUGAUUACCCCCGGAAAAGUUUGUGAGGGUUUGGAAGCCACCUCAAAGGCUUACCACUAGUGGUUGAGAAACGCCUUCGUGGUGUUAUCNNNNNNNNNNNNNNNNNNNNNNNNNNNNNNNNNNNNNNNNNNNNNNNNNNNNNNNNNNNNNNNNNNNNNNNNNNNNNNNNNNNNNNNNNNNNNNNNNNNNCCCUUUACCAUCUCCAGCCCCGCGCUCUGGAGCCGCUCCAGGGAACGCGCCAGCUCGUACAUGCGGGCCUUGGCACCAGUGGCUAUUUCCUCCACGGACCAGCCCGCGUUGGCGUCCACCUCUUCGCCAGCGGUGCGACACUCUUCACGGCUGGUCUCCACGGCCACUUCUACCGCCUCUCGUGUUCUGGGGAAGAGCCCUGGGGGAUGGGGGUGUGGUAUGGAGGAUAAGGAGGGGGAAAUGCCAGCAAGAAUGAAGACAAAAUCAAGACGAAAAAGACUCACUGUUGAAGUGGAUGUCGGUUUCCCGUGCUGAUGACCCACAAGUAUAGGGGGUCAAUCUUAGUCCUUUCAAUAAGUAAGAGUGUCGAACCCAACGAGAAGCAGAAGGAUCUGACAAGUGGUUUUCAGCAAGGUAAAAUCUGCAAGCACUGAAAUUAUCGGUAACAAGUGAUUUUGUGGUGAUAUGAUUCGUAGCAAGUAGCAAGUAACAAAAGUAGCAACGGUGCAGCAAAGUGGCCCAAUCCCUUUUGUAGAAAGGAAAAGCCUGGACAAAGUCUUAUAGGACGAAAAAAGCUCCUGAGGACACACGGGAAUUUCUUUCAUGCUAGUUUUCAUCAUGUUAAUAUGAUUCACGUUCGUUACUUUGAUAGUUUGAUAUGUGGGUGCACCGGCGCUUGGGUACUGCCCUUACUUGGACAAGCAUCCCACUUAUGAUUAACCCCUCUCGCAAGCAUCCGCAACUACGAAAUAAGAAUUAAGACAAAGUCUAACCAUAGCAUUAAACUAAUGGAUCCAAAUCAACCCCUUACGAAGCAACACAUAAACAAGGGUUUAAGCUUCUGUCACUCUAGCAACCCAUCAUCUACUUACUACUUCCCAAUGCCUUCCUCUAGGCCCAAAUAAUGGUGAAGUGUUAUGUAGUCGAUGUUCACAUAACACCACUAGAGGAAAAACAACAUACAACACAUCAAAAUAUCGAAUGAAUACCAAAUUCACAUGACUACUAUUAGCAUGACUUAUCCCGUGUUCGCAGGAACAAAAGUAACUACUCACAAAGCAUAAUCAUAUUCAGGACGAGAGAGGUAAUGAGUAGCAUCAAGGAUCUGAACAUAAACUCUUCCACCAAGUAAUCCAACUAGCAUCAACUACAAGGAGUAAUUAACACUACUAGCAACCUUACAAGUACCAAUCGGAGUCGCGAGACGGAGAUUGGUUACAAGUGAUGAACUAGGGUUUGGAGAUGAGAUGGUGCUGAUGAAGAUGUUGAUGGUGAUGAGUCCCCUCCGAUGAUAGGAGUGUUGGUGAUGACGAUGUCGAUGAUUUCCUCCUCCGAGAGGGAAGUUUCCCCCGGUAGGAUCGUCCUGCCGGAGCUCUAGAUUGGUUCUGCUCGAGUUCCUCCUCGUGGCGGCGGAUAAUCCACAAAAAAGCUCCACCCUGAUUUUUUCUUGGAUGAAACCCUUCAUAUAGCAAAACAGGUGGGGAGUGGGCCACCAGGGUGCCCACAAGCCCUGUUGCCGCGGCCAGGGGGGUAGGCCGCGGCAACCAGGCUUGUCGCCCCCUGGCAGCUCCCCUUGACACUUCUUCUGCCCAGUAUUUUUUAUAUAUUCCCAAAAAAUUCCACGUUGAUUUGCACGGCAAUUUGGAGUUGCGCAGAAUAGAGGACUCAGACUUGCUCCUUUUCCAGUCCAGAAUUCGAGCUGCCGGUAUUCUCCCUCUUCAAAUAAACCUUGCAAAAUAAGAGAGAAAAGGCAUAAGUAUGGUUCCACAAAGUAUAAUAACAGUCCAUAAAGCGAUAAAUAUCAACAUGAAAGCAUGAUGCAAAAUGGACAUAUCACUGCGUAUCCUCUGGCCGUGUAAGGCGCGCUGCCCCCGGUUGCAUAUCCUCUGGCUGCGUACAACGAGUUGCCCGCGGUUCCACACAGUGCGCCUCCCGAGUCCUACGUUGUACGUACGGCUGUUGCGGUGCCCUACAGUACUGCGUCUCCGAUCUACGGCAGGUACCAGUCGGCUCCUCAGAUCAUGUCACCGUAUGGUGCUUCCCAAACGCCGUAUCGUCUGUCGGCUGCAUCUCCUUCAAUUGAGCUCAUUCAUAUCUCGCCGGUGCCUGGUGGUGGUCCACAUCAGGGCUACUACACGCAACAUCUUCCGGAUCAUGUCGCCGCUGCUGCACCGUUCUACUUCACGCACCUCAUCUCGGUGAAGCUCAGGACUGAUAACUAUGGAGGGUUUGUUGGAGGGUUUUGUUGAUGGUACUCUGUCGUGCCCUCCUCCAUAUCAUCCGGGGCAUCAUGCAUGGGUGGCUCAAGAUCAAGCCAUCCUAUCUUCUAUCCAGUCCUCUCUCACGAAGGGAGUCUCGUCGUUGGUCAUCUUCGCCGCUAUGUCUCGGGACGCGUGGAUGGCUCUUCACACUAGUUUUGCCUCAGAGUCUCAGGCGCGGGCUCAUGCCAUUUGCAUUGCACUUGGGGAGGUGAAGCUUCAGGAUCUCACCGUCAUAGACUACUUCAACAAAGUGACGGGUAUGGCUGACACACUUGCCUCCAUUGGCAAGGCGCUUGGUCCGGAACAGUUCAGUUCCUAUGUGUUCAACGGACUGAGCGACGACUAUGAUAACUUGGCAGAGAAUAUCAAUGGUCGUGACACUCCCAUCCAGCCACGUGAGAUGUAUGGCAAGCCCUCCAAGCCACCAACUGGUGGCAAGCCUUCGCCGACCGCGCCUAAUUCGCGGAACACCACUACCUCAACAGGAGGUNNNNNNNNNNNNNNNNNNNNNNNNNNNNNNNNNNNNNNNNNNNNNNNNNNNNNNNNNNNNNNNNNNNNNNNNNNNNNNNNNNNNNNNNNNNNNNNNNNNNCCAAAGCUCUGUACCACUUGUAGGAUCGACAAUAUGUCUAGAGGGGGGUGAUUAGACUACUUGACAAGAUAAAAAAUUAGCCUUUUCCCAAUUUUAGUUGAGGGGCAGUUUUGGUAGUUAUGGCAAGUCAAGUACACCAUACACAUGCACUUCUAAGAGUGUAGCAGCCGAAUAUACAACAUGCAAGUGUAAAGUAAAGGAGUAAGCUUGGGAGAUCAAACACAUGAGGUUGACACGACGAUUUUUGGCGUGGUUCCGAUAGGUGGCGCUAUCGUACGUCCAUCUAAGUGGAGACUUCAAACCCACGGAGGGUAACAACUGCGAGAGUCCACGAAUGGCUCCACCCACAAGGGGUCCAUGAAGAAGCGACCUUGUCUAUUCCACCAUGGCUUCCGCCCACGUAGGACUAGCCUUACGCAUUGUAGAUCUUCAUGAAGUAGGCGAUCUCCUUGCGCUUACAAACAUCUUGGUUCAACACCACAACACGAAGUCGGAGGCUCCCAAGUGACACCUAACAAAUCUAGGAGGAACCACCCUCCAAAAGGUAAUAAGUGUGGUAGAACGAUGAACUCCUUGCUCUUGUACUUCUAAAAAUAGUCUCAUCAACACAAAAUCUCUCUCUCACAGAAUUGGCAUGGGUAGGAGAGAUUGAUUUAGUGGAAAGCAACUUGGGGAGGCUAGAAAUCAAGUUUCAAAUGAUUGGGUUGGAAUAUCUUUGUCCCAACACAUGAGUAGGUGGCUCUCUCUUAGAAAAAAUGGAUCUGGCAAUGAAGUGUGUGUUCUGAGUGCUUCUCCCACAAAUGAGAGGUGUGUGAAGGAGUAUAUAGGCAGCACACAAAAUCCAACCGUUACACCUAAAGUGGAAAACUCGAUGACACCGAAGUCAUCAACUCGGUGGUAUAGACUUGCACUAAAGGCAACAACUUUUGAAUC
rnacentral:lncRNA from 1 species